rnacentral:rRNA from 1 species
AUUGAACGCUGGCGGCAGGCCUAACACAUGCAAGUCGAGCGGUAACAGAGAGUAGCUUGCUACUUUGCUGACGAGCGGCGGACGGGUGAGUAAUGCCUAGGAAUCUGCCUAGUAGUGGGGGAUAACGUUCGGAAACGAACGCUAAUACCGCAUACGUCCUACGGGAGAAAGUGGGGGACCUUCGGGCCUCACGCUAUUAGAUGAGCCUAGGUCGGAUUAGCUAGUUGGUGAGGUAAUGGCUCACCAAGGCGACGAUCCGUAACUGGUCUGAGAGGAUGAUCAGUCACACUGGAACUGAGACACGGUCCAGACUCCUACGGGAGGCAGCAGUGGGGAAUAUUGGACAAUGGGCGCAAGCCUGAUCCAGCCAUGCCGCGUGUGUGAAGAAGGCCUUCGGGUUGUAAAGCACUUUCAGCGAGGAGGAAGGGGUUGUUGUUAAUAGCAACAAUCUUUGACGUUACUCGCAGAAGAAGCACCGCUAACU